AAAGCCGCCGCUGCCGCCGCCGGGGGUGGGAGCCGCGCUCGCCCGCCCGCCCCUCGACUCGCGAGGGCGUAAAAGUUUGUCUCAGCUCGAGCAUUCCUAGCGCCAACACGCCCUCAGGUAAAGGUGGAAGUAAAUGGCCACGCUGUAUUGACAGAGACAGGGACUGAGAAACGGAAAUACUACCAUCCUCCAGCCAAUCUGUUGGGAGGACUGCUUGCAGAGGACUCGUGCUCCAGAUGUUGCACUAGAGGCGCUGCAAGUGUGAGCAGCAGGUAGAUGAAACUCAAGAGAAAAGGUGUGGAUAAAUGAAACUAGCCCAUGAUGAACCUGUUUUCUCCAUGACCACAAUAUUAACCAGGAUGAUGGCGGUGGCAGUGGGCCUGCAUCACAGGUUGCAGCAGAUGUUCUCAAUAUUUCUAUUAAAAUUUCCUUAUUUCCAUAUGCAAGAGGAGCCCCAGAGCUGCAUCCUUAUGGUAGCUACCAUGCCGUGAUGUAAGCUGCCAUUCACUGGGGAGCUUUGGCAAUAGAAUUGGCUAGAUCAGCAAGCCCAUGUCAACUAUGGAACAACAACUUGCAGCUCAUCUCUAUUGAUGAUGGAAUCUCGCUAUGUCACCAGGCUGGAGUGCAGUGGCGCAACCUCGGCUCAGCGCAACAUCCGCCUCCCGGGUUCAAGUGAUUCUCCUACCUCAGCCUCCCGAGUAGCUGGGAUUACAGGAAUCUAAUGACCAUUGAACUGUGGCCAUGACUUCAAUUACAAGUAUUUUCUUCACUAAUGUCAGACUGUGGGCCUUUGUAUAUACACUUUUAACAAACUUUUUGGAAGUGCAAUACAUAUCGCAACAACUUCUCAAUGCUGAAUCAUAGUAUUGGAAGACAUUUUAAGCAACAAUUAAACUCAACUUAUUUACUACCAAUAAUGUACAUAAGUCAGCUGAAGUGAGGAUAACAUGAAUAGCACAAAUACAUUAUGAUUGCUGCCUGGCCAACAGUAAUUAUAAGAAACCGUCAGUUUUGAGAUGUGUCUUGAUUUCAGAGAUGUUAAAAAAGUUUGUAAGUUACCAUUGAUAAAAUAUGAGUUUGCUUCCGCAAAUAUUCUUUCUUCUGUCCUUCUGGAACUCAAGAGUAAACAUAUAUUAGAUUUUCUCACCAUUUCAUGCAUGCUGGUUCCUAGGCUACUCUCUGAGUCAUUUUUUUUUUUCUGAUCUGCCCUGCAGUUCACUAGUUCUGUCAUUUUCUGGGUCUGAUCUGCUGCAAAUGCAAUACAUUGAGUUUUAAAUUUCAGUCAUUGUGUUUUCAUUUCUAGAAAUUUCAUUUGACUCUUUUUCAAAUUACUUUUCCAUUUUUUUUGUAGUUUCCUAUCCCUGGAGAUAUUUUCAAUCAUGCCAUUUAAUUUUUUAAAUACGCAAGUGUAGUUUUAUAAUUUGUGUCUGAUAAUUCUAAUAUCUGAAGUCUUAGUAGGUCUGUUUCAGUUGUCCUGUAAUUAUGCAUGUUUUUGCCCAUGUUGCUUUGUUUCCUUGUAUGCUUGGUUAUCUUUCUUACUGCCCUUGCAAAAUUAUUUGGAGAGUCCUGGAGGCUUAAAUGAAGAUAACUUUUAGGAAGAAUUUGCAUUUGCUUUUGCCGAGGAUCUUGGGAUCAUUUCAACCAAAAUCUUAGCUUGAAGUUCUGCAGUCAAUCAAGGUGAUGAGAACCUGGUCAGUAAAUCCUAAUGAGGGCCAGGCUGUGGCCAAAGAUUUUUAGACAGACGUUUCCCUCCUUUGCCAUUUCUCUUUUCUUUCCUCCUCUGUUCCCCUUAGUGUCCAGACAACCUUCAUGGAAGUCCUUGGGGUGGGUGGGAAAUGAGGACGGCAGGUUUCAUUCUAGGUUUAGCCCUUUGAGGUCUAACUUAAUGCAGAGAGAGUUUUCUGGUCUAUGUGCCACCUUACAUGGGAUCUUGAGCCUUGAUUUCUAAACCCCUUGCCUUUGAUGUUUCAGAAUUGAAGCUUAAAUUUGCCAACAGGCAAAUGUCCUCAAGGCAAAUUGGCUUAGGUGUUCGAUAUUCUUCUUACCAGAAAGGUAAACUUGGGUUUUUUACUUCACCCAGAAUUUGGCAUGACAGUUCCCCAUUAUCUUGUCAGCUUAGUGCUUUAAGUGAUUGCAUUUAAAAAAAUUCUGCAUUUUCAGUUUUCAGCAGGAGGAAUGGCCUCAACUAGUGGUUUUCAACUGGGGAUGAUUUUUUUCCCCUAGGGGACAUUUGAUAAUGUUUGGAGAUGUUUUAGUUGUUAGAACUGGGGUUGGGGGAACUACUGUCAUCUGGUGGGGAGAGACAGGCAAUGCUGUUGAUCUUACUAUAAUGCACAGGCCACCCCCAACAACAAACAAAUUACAUAGCUCCAAAUAUCAAUAAUGCCAAGGUCCAAAUAACCUAACCUUCCAUUACUGAAAAUAGAAGUUCAAGAAGAUAGUUUAUAAUUUAAAAAUUUUUAGGUCUUAAUAAGUUGUCAUACUUUCACAGGUUUUAUUUCAUACUAAGUAAUUUAUUUCAAAUUUUACAUUCCAAUUACAGAAAAUUUUCUAAGCCAGUUUUUGUUCUUCAUGAGUAUUACUAUCAAGGUCACAUUUUUCAUCUAGUAUGUUUUACCCUGGUACUUGUUGGCAGGGUCAGGACUAAGGUGAGAUGCGCAAGGCAUUUGCCUCACACAAAAUGCACAAUGAAUAAAAUGUCAAAACUUUAAAUAAAGACAGAAUCACUAAAAGUACUUUGCCAUAUUGGAACCUGAGGCAAAAAGAAAAAUAAGUAAUAAUAUUAAAAAUUUUGAUAUCUUGUUCAUCAUAGAUUUUUACAUUAAUUUUGAUUGUUUAAAACAUUGCAUUAAAAUAUUAUUUAAUGUG
rnacentral:antisense_RNA from 1 species